rnacentral:rRNA from 1 species
GAAUUUUGGACAAUGGGGGCAACCCUGAUCCAGCCAUCCCGCGUGUGCGAUGAAGGCCUUCGGGUUGUAAAGCACUUUUGGCAGGGAAGAAAAGGCUCUGGCUAAUACCCGGAGCUGCUGACGGUACCUGCAGACUAACCACCGGCACACUACGUCCCAGCAGCCGCGGUAAUCCGUAGGGUACAAGCGUUAAUCGGAAUGACUGGGCGUAGAGCGUGCGCAGGCGGUUCGGCAAGAAGGAUGGGAAAUCCCAGGGCUUAACCUUGGAACUGCAUUCUUAACUGCCGGGCUAGAGUAUGUCAGAGGGGGGUAGAAUUCCGCGUGUAGCAGUGAAAUGCGUAGAGAUGCGGAGGAAUACCGAUGGCGAAGGCAGCCCCCUGGGAUAAUACUGACGCUCAUGCACGAAAGCGUGGGGAGCAAAC